UUUUAGGGUGGGUUGUUAUAUCCCCGCCUGGGAGUAACCAGCUAUAAAGACGUAGCUCCGCGCGGGUGGUGCUCUCAGAAUCCCUCGUUUAGAGCUUCGUUCCCGCUGAAGAGGCGGAAAAUAAAAAUGUGAAAACCGGCGCCCAUUUCCUGUCAGUCACGCCGGCCUGCGUCCUGCAGCCGCCACUUCCAGGGAUCAGCGGCUAAACCAACAGCCAUAUUCUUGGCAGCGAGCCAGCCCCCCCUCGCCCGCCCCCCCCCCCCCCGAAAGAGAGAGAGGCUCCCAUUGUGAGGCCCGAUCGUCCCAUUUAACGGCCGCUGCCACAAAGACGUGACACGUUUUCUCCGUAAUUACAAGUAAGAUAAUAAGAAUGGGAACGCGUUCUUUCACAGACUGUUUCUCGUUUCUGAAUAAAUGAUGAGCGUGUUGUGAAAAAGGAAUAUGAGACUCUGUUUGUUUUUUGUCCAGUUUUUGUUCAAGCGACUCACAUUGGACAUUAUGUAAACUUUGACUUCAUGGAGGACGUCCGUGUUCUGUUUAGUCUGCUCCCGCCGGAGGUGUGUGUGUGUGUGUGUGUGCUCGUCCUGCCCUCCAUCUGAGGACCAUUGCUCAUCUGAGACCUUCAGAGUGAGGACAUUUAGGCUGGUCUCAUUCUGCUUUCUGUAGGCGAACCAGUGGGAGACAAUGCAGAGUCCAAUCCAGUGGACGUGGAAGGAAGGACAGCACAGAGAAUCCAACGGUCCAGGCAGCUUCUGAACCGACCACUGAAGUGCUUUUCUCGUCUUGUUCUCCGGGAGGACUGAAGUUCGUCGUGAAAAGAGGGAAAACCGCACAAAAAAACGCCGCUUUUCCUUUGGGGACAAGGACAAGAUGGUUCUCCAAAGACAAUACGACAAAGAGUGUGUAUUUAUGUCUGAAAACUGACAGAAGAAAGAUGCAUAAAAACAACCCCGUCCACACACACACACACACACACACACACACACACACACCCCUGUUGUGUCACGCCGGUUGUCAUGGUCACACUUCUGACUUCAUGGAAGCUCAGUUUAAGCUUUAAAAGUUUAUCUGUGCUCACGAGCGCAUGACGAACAAAACACGACGUCAUCGAUGAGCUCCAACUCACAGCUGCUGGACGCUCAUGCAGUUGACUCUGGCGCCCCCUGUGGACGGAAGUGGUAGUGUCCCUACCAGCACGGUCCCUUCAGAACCCCUCGUUCUACCGCAGGGUUCCACAGUCAGCUCCUCUCAGUCCCGGGUCUGGUUCUCCCGGGCCUCCCUUCACUCCAUCACCACGUCCUGGUCCUCCAGAGAGGAGAAGCGUCUGGGUCUGUCCCCGGUGCGCCGUCUCUGCUUAAGGAUCUUCUACGGGGUCUACGGAGGAUCAGGACUAAACUGACUCUGAUUCAGAACCAACUCCUCACGGUAACUUUAAAUAAAUGAACUAAUUCGUCAAUGAAUCCAAGCGGCUGCGGUCUCAAUCGUCUCCGCUGGUCCAGGAUCAAAGACGAGGAGAAGUGGUCUCAUCAGGCAGUUGACUAAAGGCUCCUCCAGAGGGACCGACGCACUCGAGACCGUCCUUAAGACACUCUCACAGCGUCUCCUCAAAGAGACAACAGCUCAAGAGCCAAUUACCGCCGGCAGCCGUCCUCCGGAUCGACGAGCUGCAGCGAGACAGAAACCACCAAGAGGUCCUGUGAUGUGAGAGCUCUCAUUACACUCCAGCAGACCAUUGUCCUCUUGUUAAGGACCAAAUCAACCUCAUUCCAAAUGUUUGAGUUCUCCGUCCCGUCGUCUCCUCUCUGCUCCUCCCGCUCUCCUUAAAAGACAAACACUGCCCUCUGUCUCCGCCGCCUGGAAGCACAGGAAGGACAUCACCGGUGUGUGUCCUCAGAGACAACCACACAAAGACACAGAGCGUGUGUCCUCAGAGACAACCACACAACGACACAGAGUGUGUGUCCUCAGAGACAACCACACAACGACACAGAGUGUGUGUCCUCAGAGACAACCACACAACGACAAAGUGUGUGUCCUCAGAGACAACCACACAACGACAUAAAUGUGUGUCCUCAGAGACAACCACACAACGACACAGAUGUGUGUCCUCAGAGACAACCACACAACAACACACAUGUGUGUCCUCAGAGACAACCACACAACAACACACAUGUGUGUCCUCAGAGACAACCACACAAAGACACAGAGUGUGUGUCCUCAGAGACAACCACACAACAACACACAUAUGUGUGUCCUCAGAGACAACCACACAAAGACACACAUGUGUGUCCUCAGAGACAACCACACAAAGACACAGAGUGUGUGUCCUCAGAGACAACCACACAAAGACACACAUGUGUGUCCUCAGAGACAACCACACAACGACACAGAGUGUGUCCUCAGAGACAACAACACGGUUGUGUAUUUUGUUCUUUGUUGUUGUUGACAGACUGAAGCAGGAGGACGGGGACGAGGUCUUUUUGUUUCCUUCAGGUAUUUCCUCCGUCCUGAAGAAAGCUUCGUACCUGAAGCAGACGCAGCCUGAGUGCGUUGACCUUUGACCUUUAACCUCUGAAGUGACCUCACACCGUCUCCCCGAUGUCGUACGUUUUUUUACUGAAGGCUUAAAGCCACACUGGCUCCCCGUGAGGUGCUGGUUGCCCCGGUGGUGGUGACGUAGCCGUGGCGGUGGUGGUGACGUAGCCGUGGCGGUGGUGGUGACGUAGCCGUGGUGGUGACGUAGUAAUGCUAACAGGGAUGAGAGUAUUAAAACUCGGAUGUCACGGUGCGUCGGUGCUUUUGUUGAUUUUUGUUGUUGAUUCUGUUUCCUGUUUGAUUCCCGGAGCUCCUCCUCCAGAGAUCGUGAACGUCUCCAGGGAAGUUACUUGGAAUUACUGAGCAUUGCAGUGAAAGGUGUGCUCACCUUUACUGGCGCGGUGAGACGCCGUGGGAGAGGAAAGCGGGCCGGCUCCUUAGUGCGAGCAGCCUGGUUCUCGCACACCGCUGCCGGGCGUCUUUGUCUCCAGCGUGCGACAAGCUGGACAACCUCCAGCUGCUGGUGAGGACAGACAGACACUUUCCUGCACUCUCCAUUUUGUCCCUCGCAGAGACGUGGUUCUGUGGAUCGAUACCGAACUGCUGCUCAGAGCGGACAUGGAGCAAGGCGAAGGGUGGAGGAAUCUGCUUCAACUCCAACAGCAGCUGGUGCAGCGACGUUUCUCCUGAUCGGUUGAUGAUCAUUAACUGUUAUUUUAAUAUUUAUGGAUGAAGCUCACUGAUUUAAGAUGAUCCGAGUUGAAACGCUGACUCUCGUCCUUGUCUGAGGACCCUAAUGGUUCCGUAGGAGAGGAAGAAGGGAUUCACGUGUGUUACCGUAAACCAGUCAGAGCUCCGUGUGGGGGGGUCAGCUUGGUAACAUAUCUCCUGCGAGUGAAGGAGAUAACCGAGGCUAAUAGAAACAUGCCGGGGUGAUUUAUUGGGGGGCUCAGUACGGCAGACAGUCUGUUGACUCACUCUAUAAAUAAACAUAGAUCCAUACACAUAUAGAGAGUGUAGAGGGUGAUAUAUACGACUAUAUAUACACACACAUAUGUAGUGAUAUAUAAACUGGGAUGAUCUAUUCAUCCUGCCAUAACUUUACGUUUAAUAUGCUGUGAAGAACUAUUAUAUGGAUUGUACUCAUUUGUAUUUUAAUAUUAUAAAAUAAAAAUAAAUACAUGGUAAAGUGAAUGUAAUUAUCUAAAUGAUUGCAUACAUAAACUACAACCGAUGAACAGCAUUGUGUUAGCGACCGAAUACACUCUAAGGGACCAGAAAUGUCACUUUGAAUAAAUAACAGGAAAAAAAAGUGUGUGUAUAUAUUAUAUAUGUGUAUUAUAUAUAUAU
ensembl:lncRNA